rnacentral:rRNA from 1 species
CGCUAUCAUCCUACGGGAGGCAGCAUGGGGAAUAUUGCACAAUGGGGGAAACCCUGAUGCAGCCAUGCCGCGUGUGUGAAGUAAGGCCUUCGGGUUGUAAAGCACUUUCAGUAGGGAGGAAGGUAGUGUAGUUAACACCUGCUACUAUUUUGACGUUACCUACAGAAGAAGCACCGGCUAACUCCGUGCCAGCAGCCGCGGUAAUACGGAGGGUGCGAGCGUUAAUCGGAAUUACUGGGCGUAAAGCGCAUGCAGGCGGCCUGUUAAGUCAGAUGUGAAAGCCCGGGGCUUAACCUCGGAAUUGCAUUUGAAACUGGCAGGCUAGAGUCUUGUAGAGGGGGUAGAAUUUCAGGUGUAGCGGUGAAAAUGCGUAGAGAUCUGAAGGAAUACCAGUGGCGAAGGCGGCCCCCUGGACAAAGACUGACGCUCAGAUGCGAAAGCGUGGGGAGCAAACAGGAUUAGAUACCCUGGUAG